GCCGGUGUGGCUCAGUGGUUGGGCGUCGACCCAGGAACCAGGAGGUCACGGGUUCGAGUCCCGGUCAAGGGCA
rnacentral:tRNA from 1 species